rnacentral:rRNA from 1 species
GAUGAACGCUGGCGGCGUGCCUAAUACAUGCAAGUCGAACGCGCAGCGAGAGGUGCUUGCACCUUUCAAGCGAGUGGCGAACGGGUGAGUAACACGUGGAUAACCUGCCUCAAGGCUGGGGAUAACAUUUGGAAACAGAUGCUAAUACCGAAUAAAACUUAGUAUCGCAUGAUAUCAAGUUAAAAGGCGCUACGGCGUCACCUAGAGAUUGAACCGCGGUGCAUUAGUUAGUUGGUGGGGUAAAGGCUUACCAAGACGAUGAUGCAUAGCCGAGUUGAGAGACUGAUCGGCCACAUUGGGACUGAGACACGGCCCAAACUCCUGCGGGAGGCUGCAGUAGGGAGUCUUCCACAAUGGGCGCAAGCCUGAUGGAGCAACGCCGCGUGUGUGAUGAAGGCUUUCGGGUCGUAAAGCACUGUUGUAUGGGAAGAAAUGCUAAAAUAGGGAAUGAUUUUAGUUUGACGGUACCAUACCAGAAAGGGACGGCUAAAUACGUGCCAGCAGCCGCAGUAAUAC